AGAAACCAACAGGGAUUGCCCCAGUAACGGCGAGUGAAGCGGCAACAGCUCAAAUUUGAAAUCUGGCCCCCCGGCCCGAGUUGUAAUUUGGAGAGGAUGCUUCUGGCGCGGCGCCGUCCGAGUUCCUUGGAACAGGACGCCACAGAGGGUGAGAGCCCCGUACGGACGGACGCCUAGCCUCUACGAAGCUCCUUCGACGAGUCGAGUAGUUUGGGAAUGCUGCUCAAAAUGGGAGGUAAAUUUCUUCUAAAGCUAAAUACCGGCCAGAGACCGAUAGCGCACAAGUAGAGUGAUCGAAAGAUGAAAAGCACUUUGAAAAGAGGGUUAAAAAGUACGUGAAAUUGUUGAAAGGGAAGCGCCUGUGACCAGACUUGCGCCCCGCGGACCACCCGGCGUUCUCGCCGGUGCACUCUGCGGUGCGCAGGCCAGCAUCGGUUCUCCCAGGGGGACAAAGGCCGCGGGAACGUAGCUCCUUCGGGAGUGUUAUAGCCCGCGGCGGCAUGCCCCUGGGGGGACCGAGGACCGCGCUUCGGCAAGGAUGCUGGCGUAAUGGUCACCAGCGACCCGUC
rnacentral:rRNA from 1 species